rnacentral:rRNA from 1 species
AUUGAACGCUGGCGGCAUGCUUUACACAUGCAAGUCGAACGGUAACAGGCCUUCGGGUGCUGACGAGUGGCGAACGGGUGAGUAAUGCAUCGGAACGUACCCAGAGGUGGGGGAUAACGCAGCGAAAGCUGUGCUAAUACCGCAUGUGAUCUGAGGAUGAAAGCGGGGGACCGAGCAGCAAUGUUUGGCCUCGCGCCUUUGGAGCGGCCGAUGUCGGAUUAGCUAGUUGGUGGGGUAAAGGCCUACCAAGGCGACGAUCCGUAGCUGGUCUGAGAGGACGACCAGCCACACUGGGACUGAGACACGGCCCAGACUCCUACGGGAGGCAGCAAUGGGGAAUUUUGGACAAUGGGCGCAAGCCUGAUCCAGCAAUGCCGCGUGCGGGAAGAAGGCCUUCGGGUUGCAAACCGCUUUUGGCAGGAACGAAACGGUGUCCGCUAAUACCGGGCGCUAAUGACGGUACCUGCAGAAUAAGCACCGGCUAACUACGUG